rnacentral:lncRNA from 1 species
UCUCCUCUCCACCCCUGCGAUGACCUAACCCAUAGCCCCUGCCCACCCCCUCCGCCGCCGGCGCCGGUGCCUCGAAGGUCAAGGGAAGACCCUCUACUCGGCCCCCAUCGCCGUCCGCGCCGCCGCCCUAUGCCGCCGCCACCACCGCCGUCCAAAUCGCCACCCCCAUAGCCGUCCAAACUGCUCUCGGCAACACCUCUCCAUCCCACGGCUGCCGAAGACAGGGAGGAGGACGAGGCUGGCUAGGCAGGGAGGCCGAGGGUGAAGUGCAGUGGGAGGCGCAUCGGUUAGUGCAGAGGGAGGUCUAUGGUCAGCUCAUUGGAAUCUCACAGGCCACCACGGGGAGAGCAAUCACGCAGGCACAUCAACCUCCCCCACCAGGUAUGUUCAAUUGAACCUUCACUAUUAGUUGAGCUAACCGUCUCCAACAGCAACGUCCCAAUCACAAAUAAUUAUUUAGGUUUCUUACUGUGUGCGUGGAUGGGGCAUCGGAAGGAUAGAUGGCAGUACUCGUGUGGAUGCAACAACUGACUGUUAGUUUGUUCAUUCAGAGACUACCACGAACCAGUUUGAUUUGUGCUAUAAUGCUCUUGCAAAUAAUCAUAGAUGUUGGUGAAAACUGCAGAUGUUGUGGUGUUCAGGAAGGAGCGCAGAUACAGCAGCUGUCCAUCUGCAACCGCGGCCACGGGUGCCUAAUCUAACGCGACCUCCUGUUUUGACAUCGUCCUUGGUAGCUGCAAGCGUGGAAACAACCUUGGCAGUGCAGCGGCAGCCAUGAGGUUGUUCCUAGACCACUCCACCUUUGAACUGUACAAUCUGCUGUGCUUUCUAGCUAUUCUAUUUAUAUGUAGCCAUAGAUUGGUACAGUUAAUUCAUAAAUAUGAUUCAAUAGGAUUUGAUAUUUUUUUCAUGUCUCAAGUUUUUAGCUCUUCCCUCCUGGUGUGCAAAUUUUUUAGAGGAAUUUGGUGUGCCAAUUAUUUUCCUGCUUACUGUAGUUAUAGUUUUUCUCACUGUUAGAGCAGAGUAAAAUUCAAACUAUGAUAUUAGUGGUGGUUAGCUGAUAACUUGAUCAUAACAGGGGGCACACUAAUCUUCUUUCUUUUCUUCUCUAACAAAGUCUUAAUAUUAUAAGAAUGUUGUUCUCUUCUUUCAUAUUUGACAAAUAAAAUUUCCCCUAAUUUCAGUUUGGAUAAGCCAAGGUUGCUUUUGGAUCUUAGUAGAAGAUAGACGUUACGGAUUUAUAGACAAACAAUAGAUGUUGAUUUAGGGGUUCCGUCUGAUACUCAUGUCUUCUCUAUUUGGGAUACAAGUUCAAGUGAUCUUUUAGGCUACUAUUAAAGGGAAAUAUGUAUGCCGUUUCGUUCAUUUCAUCUCCACCUCCCCACCUUGCAUGUGUGUUCCCCUUCCCACCGGUUUUAUUGAUUUUUUAUAACAAUAUGCCUUAGGUUAUAAACCUACAAUAUAUUAACAUUCAGCAGAUACUCAUUUUUGUCUGUAGCUACACAAUCCAACUACUCAAAGGAACAUACAGUUCUAGAAGUGAGAACUGUUGAGCUAUUAUAGUGCAGCCUUGGGAUGAUAGAUGUUCAGGCCAGCUAUGCAGACCUUAAGGUAAAUGUUUUUCCAGCUAAUUAACAUGAAAUGUCUUGUAACUUGAACUAAUAAUGAACAACUGAGGAAUGCUUCCUGAAUGAAUCCAAAAUUGUUGGAAACACCACCGUCCAGUUGGAGAGGGAGCUAUCUGGAUCUCUAUCCAACCAGGACAUGUCUGCUUACAACUUUUUGUUGAAAAAGGUUGCGAAAAAAAAUCUAAAUCUGGAGGUAGGUGAUCCCAACUCACAACUAUGGAUAGCAAAAGGAAGAUGCAGUACUUGAUGUGAAAAUUUACAGGAAUAGAUAAUCUAACUUACAAUUAAUAAGCUUAUACUAUUAUUGUUGAUGCAAUACUAAUUUUACACGUUUUUUCAGUUGUAAAUACAAUAUGAAAUAAAAAGUUAUUCACAGGACCAUGGGUGUUUGUUAGUUUGUAUAAUCACACAAAUAAAAUAAGAGUUAAUUUGUCUAUGUAUGGUUUGUAUCCUGUUAUUUGCUACAAUAUUUAGCAAGUGUGCAAGCUAUUUAUGUGAGGUUAACUACGGACCUAUAAGCGAAGGAGUUUUUCUUCUCUACACAAGUAAGGUGUAAGCCAGCGAUCUUGGUUAUAUAGUUGACUUAAAUCCUGAAGGGACGAGCCUGCAUCUUUUCUUUCUGAUUUGAAAUGUAUUCAAAAUUCUUAUGCCCUGGUGUGCUCUAAUUCUUGGUAGUAUGUUCUCACAUGAACAGUCAUUUGAACAUUCAUCUAACUUUCUGCUUAAUAAAUUUGUAGCUGAGAUGAUGUAGCCGAAGGCACACUUCGGUAUUGUUUUAUUUCAGUCUUCCCUUAUCCUUUUUGUCUAAGAGAUAUUUCCCAGCAUGUCUGUCCAAACAUAUAUUACAGUUAUUACUAAGAAGGCUAUCCUCUUUUCUAUUUCAGCUCAAAGAUGGAUCGACCUGCGCAUUGUUGGGAUCUGUUUUAAUUGAAGUACUUCCUUCUACAGAAACAACUGGUACACAAGGAGCGUGUUUCCUUCUACAGAGGUAGCUGGUGCACAUGGAUGUAGUGAAACACGGUCAGAAACACUUGAGAUAUUAGCCGCAUAUAUUGAGAUAUUUCUCCUUUUAUUCUGGGUCCUGUAUCCUAAAAUAAGUAGCCAACUCAUUUAUACAUGGUGGUCAGGGCAAUGUGUAACGUCUACCUUUGGUAUUGUAUUAUUUUGUUCAAUGCAAUUCAUCAAAAUGACAAUGCAACAACAUAUGUAAAUGUUCUUUACUACCUUCUCAUUCUGCGCUGAGAUCAAUGAAAGUUGCAGGCAUCUAUAGCUUUGAAGCUAGCUCUUUGGGCGGCUUGAGAUAGGACAGCUACAUUGUUCUUUAAUUAUAGGUUCCAUCAAUGGUAAUGAUGGUUUCCCAACAAGAAUGCUAG